CGGUGCCUGGAGCCUGCGCACUCGGUUACGGUCCACAGUGCGUGCGCGCAUGCGCCUGGCUUGCGGGAUGGAGACGCUGGAGAAGGUAGGGCCGGUGCGGCGAUCUUGGGCAGGUGGGCACCGAGGAGGCCAGACCCCUCGCACCGUUGUGAGUGUCACACUGGGACUACGUGAGCCAGUGAAAUCCCCGAAAGGGGCAAUUAAAAAUAUCCAGGGCUUGGCAAGAUCAGUUGGGUGUGUACAGAUUUCUCUCAAGGCCGAUAUCCCCGGUGACCUUCAAUUUAUGGAGAUAGACGUGUGGCAGGAAGGAAGGUUCAUACAAUCUUCAGCACUAUUACACUGUGCUUUUUUUCCUUCCAUGAAUUUGUUUUGGAAAGACCCUCACAGCCCCGGCAAACUUGUUCAGAAGGGGAGGGGUGAAGUGCCGGGAUGAAAUCAGGAUCUGGAGACCAGGAAAUGCCACCCCACGGGCUGGAGCCCAAGGGUACACCCGCCUCCAUCUCCACCCGCCCGCACAACAGGAAGGCAGAGGAAGGGCAGACGGGGCCCACCCUCGGCCAGGCUCUCCCCACAAGGUGGUCUUCAGAGACCCUGGUUCCAGUCUCCUGUCUUCACCCACAUCCCACAAGCCCCAGCUUCCUGGACAGGCUUCAGCACACGAUGUAAGAGAGGAUGGAGCAGCCGGGAGGAGCUGGCACUAAUCACUUGGCGUUGCCCAAGAGGACAGAUAAAGAAACUGAGACAACAGCAGCAAAGUCAUUGCCUACGGUCACAAAGUUUCGUCAAGCAGCAGAGCCAGGAUUCAAACCCAGGCCCUGCUGUCAUCCACUGCUGUCUGCUAGAAGUAUCUGUACUGUUCAGAAAUGUUUGGAAGCUACAUUUAUAAAUCACAGAGUAAAAUUAAGUUUCAUCUCAGUCAUCUGUUUUGUUAAUCCAAAUGAUUGAUUAAAAUCCAAAUUUAUUAUUUCCACAUGUAACCAAUAUCAAAAUUACUGCUAUUUCACUUUUUGAAAUACUAAGCCUUAGAUUUCCAACGGCAUGUUUCACAUUUACAACAUCUCUCCAUGUGGGCACUAAAUUUUCAUUAGAAAUCCUUCAUCUGUGUCCAUAGAAUUUGUGAAAUUUGCAGUUAAAAAUGGAGAUUCACAUACCCAAGUUGUUCCAUAUGUGUAUAUACUCAAAAGUUGCCCAUGGACUGGAUUGAGUAUUGAUUUUUAAAUGUAAAUUAAUAAAGGUGAAAUAAAAUGCACAAUCCAGUUGCUCA